GAAGGCRAAACYCCUGAUUGGGACUAAGUCGUAACAAGGUAACCGUAGGUGAACCUGCAGAAGGAUCA
rnacentral:rRNA from 1 species